GCUAGAGACCGGGAGACGUAAAGAGUACGUCUAAAGUAGCGGUAAAAUGUGUUGAUCUUAGGCGGACUGACGAUAGCGAAGGCACUUUACGAGAACGGUUCUGACAGUAAGGGAUGAAGGCUAGGGGCGCAAAACGGAUUAGAUACCCGUGUAGUCCUAGCAGUAAACACUGCACACUAAACCUUGUGAUCUCUUCGAGAGAUUGCAGGGCUGCAGGGAAGCCGAAGAGUGUGCUACCUGGGAAGUAUAGUCGCAAGGCUGAAACUUAAAGGAAUUGGCGGGGAGACACUACAACGGGUGACGCGUGCGGUUCAAUUAGAUUAUACACCGUGAACCUCACCAGGAGCGACAGCAGAAUGAAGGUCAGUCUAAAGGGCUUACCUGACACGCUGAGAGGGGUUGCAUGGCCGACGUCAGCCUGUGCUGUGAGGCGAUCUGUUAAAUCAGAUAACAGGCAAGACCCACAUCUUUAUUUACUACGUGUACAAUAAAGAGAUUGCCUUGGUAACAAGGAUGAAAGUGUGGGCUACGUUAGGUGGGUACAGCCCAAAUCCCCUGGGCAACACGCGCGCGUCAAUGGCAGAUACAAUUGGAUGCGACUCUGAAAAGAGAAGCCAAUCUUCUAAAGUCUGUCUCAGUUCAGAUUGAGGUUUGCAACUCAGCCUCAUGACGUUGGAAUCCGUAGUAAUCGGGUGUUAUCAGCGCCCGGUGA
rnacentral:rRNA from 1 species